CUACGGGUUGCACCAGUGAGGAGUUUUGCGCAAUGGGGGAAACCCUGACGCAGCAACGCCGCGUGAGCGAAGAAGGCCUUCGGGUCGUAAAGCUCUGUCAAGUGGGAAAAACGUUUUCCGGUGAAUAGCCGGGAGAUCUGAUGGUACCAUUGAAGGAAGCACCGGCGAACUCCGUGCCAGCAGCCGCGGUAAUACGGAGGGUGCAAGCGUGUGUUCGGAAUUAUUGGGCGUAAAGAGCGUGUAGGCGGUUUAGUAAGUCAGAUGUGAAAGCCCCGGGCUCAACCUGGGAAGUGCAUUUGAAACUGCUUUACUGGAGUAUGGGAGAGGAGAGUGGAAUUCCUGGUGUAGAGGUGAAAUUCGUAGAUAUCAGGAGGAACAUCUGUGGCGAAGGCGACUCUCUGGACCAAUACUGACGCUGAGACGCGAAAGCGUGGGUAGCAAACAGGAUUAGAUACCCGCGUAGUC
rnacentral:rRNA from 1 species